rnacentral:rRNA from 1 species
GACGAACGCUGGCGGCGUGGAUUAGGCAUGCAAGUCGAACGGUAUCAUCCUUUCGGGGGUGAGAGAGUGGCGAACUGGUGAGUAACACGUAGGUUAUCUACCCUCAAGACGGGGACAACCCAGGGAAACUUGGGCUAAUACCGGAUGUGAGCAACUUUUAGUUGUUUGAAAGGUGGCGUAAGCUGUCGCUUGGGGAUGAGCCUGCGUCCUAUUAGUUAGUUGGUGAGGUAACGGCUCACCUAGGCAAUGAUAGGUAGGCGGCCUUAACGGGUGGUCGCCCACACUGGGAUUGAGAUACGGCCCAGACUCCUACGGGAGGCAGCAGUCGAGAAUAGUCUACAAUGGUCGGAAGACUGAUAGUGCGACGCCGCGUGAACGAUGAAUCCCUUCGGGGUGUAAAGUUCUUUUAUAUGUGAGCAGUGCUUCUUAUAUUAACAGUAUGGGGAGAGAGAUAUUAGCAUACGAAUAAGCAACGGCUAACUCCGUGCCAGCAGCCGCGGUAAUACGU